GUUGUGGGGUUAAGCGACUAAGCGUACACGGUGGAUGCCCUGGCAGUCAGAGGCGAUGAAGGACGUGCUAAUCUGCGAUAAGCGUCGGUAAGGUGAUAUGAACCGUUAUAACCGGCGAUUUCCGAAUGGGGAAACCCAGUGUGUUUCGACACACUAUCAUUAACUGAAUCCAUAGGUUAGUGAGGCGAACCGGGGGAACUGAAACAUCUAAGUACCCCGAGGAAAAGAAAUCAACCGAGAUUCCCCCAGUAGCGGCGAGCGAACGGGGAGCAGCCCAGAGCCUGAAUCAGUGUGUGUGUUAGUGGAAGCGUCUGGAAAGGCGCGCGAUACAGGGUGACAGCCCCGUACACAAAAAUGCACAUGCUGUGAGCUCGAUGAGUAGGGCGGGACACGUGGUAUCCUGUCUGAAUAUGGGGGGACCAUCCUCCAAGGCUAAAUACUCCUGACUGACCGAUAGUGAACCAGUACCGUGAGGGAAAGGCGAAAAGAACCCCGGCGAGGGGAGUGAAAAAGAACCUGAAACCGUGUACGUACAAGCAGUGGGAGCCUCUUUAUGGGGUGACUGCGUACCUUUUGUAUAAUGGGUCAGCGACUUAUAUUCUGUAGCAAGGUUAACCGAAUAGGGGAGCCGAAGGGAAACCGAGUCUUAACUGGGCGUUAAGUUGCAGGGUAUAGAC
rnacentral:rRNA from 1 species